rnacentral:rRNA from 1 species
GACGAACGCUGGCGGCGUGCCCAAUACAUGCAAGUUGAGCGCUGAAGGUUGGUACUUGUACCAACUGGAUGAGCAGCGAACGGGUGAGUAACGCGUGGGGAAUCUGCCUUUGAGCGGGGGACAACAUUUGGAAACGAAUGCUAAUACCGCAUAAAGACUUUAAACACAAGUUUUAAGUUUGAAAGAUGCAAUUGCAUCACUCAAAGAUGAUCCCGCGUUGUAUUAGCUAGUUGGUGAGGUAAAGGCUCACCAAGGCGAUGAUACAUAGCCGACCUGAGAGGGUGAUCGGCCACAUUGGGACUGAGACACGGCCCAAACUCCUACGGGAGGCAGCAGUAGGGAAUCUUCGGCAAUGGACGAAAGUCUGACCGAGCAACGCCGCGUGAGUGAAGAAGGUUUUCGGAUCGUAAAACUCUGUUGGUAGAGAAGAACGUUGGUGAGAGUGGAAAGCUCAUCAAGUGACGGUAACUACCCAGAAAGGGACGGCUAACUACGUG